rnacentral:lncRNA from 1 species
GGGCCUAGUGGUGCAUUGAGCUGAGGUCAGUAAUUGCCCACUGGGAACUAUAAAUUAUAGUUCUCACGCCCUCUUUUUCUCGAUGUUUUUCAGAGCCUUCCGCGCAGGGUGAGGCCAGGGAUCGCGGGAAGGGAGUUGCUUCGAGCUAGCUUCCUUCGAGGACGAGUUGCUAGGUGGUCCACCUCUCGAUUUAUAUUUCUUUUUGCGAGAGGUUGAGGAGUUUACCAGUGUACUAGAGACCACCAUUUUUGUACUAGAGACAGAUAUUGUACUACUUAUGACUCCUUUUAUUGUUUAGCUUUACUUCUGUACUUUGGUGUAGAUGUUAGAUCUAUACUCGCUCUGAUAUCAUUAGUUGCUAGUUAUUUCACCUCUUCUAUUUGUCCUACUAUUUGCUUUUACUU